AGGUCAAGCUACAAAGGGCGCAUGGUGAAUGCCUUGGCAUCAGGAGCCGAUGAAGGACGUGAUAAGCUGCGAUAAGCUUCGGGUAGGCGCACAUAGCCAGAGAUCCGGAGAUUUCCGAAUGGGGAAACCCGCAUGAGAAACCUCAUGCAUCGUAAAGUGAAUACAUAGCUUUAUGAAGGAACACCUAGGGAACUGAAACAUCUAAGUACCUAGAGGAAGAGAAAGAAAAAUCGAUUUUCUUAGUAGCGGCGAGCGAAAAGGAAAGAGCCCAAACCAGAGAUUUAUCUCUGGGGUUGCGGACAGAACAUAACGUGAAAUUAUGAUUAACCGAACACAACUGGAAAGUUGGACCGUAGGAGGUAAUAGUCCUGUAAGUAAAAGUCAUAAUGAUCAGUUCUGCACCAGAGUACCACGAGACACGUGAAACCUUGUGGGAAGCAGGGAGGACCACCUCCCAAGGCUAAAUACUACCUGAUGACCGAUAGUGAAGCAGUACCGUGAGGGAAAGGUGAAAAGAACCCCGGGAGGGGAGUGAAAUAGAACCUGAAACCCUGUGCUUACAAGCUGUGGGAGCACUUUAUAUGUGUGACCGCGUACUUUUUGUAGAACGGGCCAACGAGUUACGACAGUAAGCAAGGUUAAGUACUUAAGGUAUGGAGCCGUAGUGAAAGCGAGUCUUAAAUGGGCGUUAAGUUUUCUGUCGUAGACCCGAAACCGGGCGACCUACCCAUGAGCAGGAUGAAGCGAAAGUAAAAUUUCGUGGAGGUCCGAACCCACGAGCGUUGAAAAGCUCGGGGAUGACUUGUGGGUAGCGGUGAAAUUCCAAUCGAGCCCGGAGAUAGCUGGUUCUCCCCGAAAUAGCUUUAGGGCUAGCCUCAAGGUUGAGAAAUACGGAGGUAGAGCACUGAAUAUCCUAGGGGGCAUUGCGCUUACCGAAGAUUAUCAAACUCCGAAUGCCGUUAUUUUAUACUUGGGAGUCAGACUGUGGGUAAUAAGAUUCAUAGUCGAGAGGGCAACAGCCCAGAUCGUCAGCUAAGGUCCCUAAAUGUAAGUUAAGUGGUAAAGGAUGUGGGAUUGCAUAGACAACCAGGAUGUUGGCUUAGAAGCAGCCACUCAUUUAAAGAGUGCGUAAUAGCUCACUGGUCGAGUGAUCCUGCGCCGAAGAUUACCGGGGCUAAAACUUACUACCGAAGCUACGAUAUCAUUUAUGAUAGGUAGGGGAGCUUCCUAUGCAGGCUGAAGCAUGACCGUAAGGACAUGUGGACAGUAUAGGAGUGAGAAUGUUGGCAUGAGUAGCGAGACGUGGGUGAGAAUCCCACGGGCCGUAAACCCAAGGUUUCCAGGGGAAGGUUCGUCCGCCCUGGGUUAGUCGGGACCUAAGCCGAGGCCGAAAGGCGUAGGUGAUGGACAACAGGUUGAGAUUCCUGUACCACCAAUAAUCGCUUGAGAGAAGGAAUGACACAGUAGGAUAAGCUAACCACACUGUUGGUUAUGUGUGGCUAAGUACUGAGGCAGUCAAGGUAGGCAAAUCCGCCUUGAUAAUGCUGGGGUACGAUGGGGAGCGAAAUUAAGUAGCGAAGUAGCUGAUUUCACACUGUCGAGAAAAGUUUCUAUCGAGAUUAAAGGUGCCCGUACCGCAAACCGACACAGGUGGGUGAGGAGAGUAUCCUAAGGCCAGCGAGAGAACUGUUGUUAAGGAACUCGGCAAAAUGACCCCGUAACUUAGGGAGAAGGGGUGCCACGUUAGGGUUAACGCCCGAGGUGGCCGCAGAGAAUAGGCCCAAGCGACUGUUUACCAAAAACACAGGUUUCUGCUAAGUCGCAAGACGAUGUAUAGGAGCUGACGCCUGCCCGGUGCUGGAAGGUUAAGGGGAUCUGUUAGGAUUUAUCCGAAGCAGUGAACUUAAGCCCCAGUAAACGGCGGCCGUAACUAUAACGGUCCUAAGGUAGCGAAAUUCCUUGUCGGGUAAGUUCCGACCCGCACGAAAGGCGUAACGAUUUGGGCACUGUCUCAACAACAGACUCGGUGAAAUUGUAAUCCCGGUGAAGAUGCCGGGUACCUGCGACAGGACGGAAAGACCCCAUGGAGCUUUACUGUAGCUUGACAUUGAAUUUUGGUGCUACAUGUACAGGAUAGGUGGGAGGCUAUGAAGUCGGGACGCCAGUCUCGGCGGAGCCAUCCUUGGGAUACCACCCUUGUAGUACUGAGAUUCUAACCAGAUACCUUGAAUCAGGUAUUGGGACACUGUCAGGUGGGCAGUUUGACUGGGGCGGUCGCCUCCCAAAGAGUAACGGAGGCGCUCAAAGGUUCUCUCAGCACGGUCGGAAAUCGUGCGUAGAGUGUAAAGGCAGAAGAGAGCUUGAUUGCAAGACAUACAGGUCGAGCAAGGACGAAAGUCGGACUUAGUGAUCCGGUGGUUCCGCAUGGAAGGGCCAUCGCUCAACGGAUAAAAGCUACCCUGGGGAUAACAGGCUUAUCUCCCCCAAGAGUCCACAUCGACGGGGAGGUUUGGCACCUCGAUGUCGGCUCAUCACAUCCUGGGGCUGUAGUAGGUCCCAAGGG
rnacentral:rRNA from 1 species